AAUGGCAGCUUCUCAAGUUCUGUUGUGAGUCUUACUCUUUUUAGUGCUUUAACUAGAUUGCUUCGGGGCUCUCCGAUGUUAGAUUUGUAGGCCAUUGGUCUUUCUUGCGAGUGUGGAUGAAAUCGAACAAAGUAAUUUGAAUCGCUAUAUCGUGAUUGCUUCAACUACAGGAUAUGGCGAAAAAACCAAGUAAUUUGAAAUUGUUCUUGCUAAGCAAAAUAUUUUUUAAUUACCUGCUUGAUCGAUCAAUGUAUUAAUAAGUUGGGGUCUGAUUCAAACGUGUUAUUAAUAGAUUGCAGAUUGGUGGCUCCAAUAAUCUUCCUGCCAGUAGUCACCAUAUCCUUACCCUCUCUCCCAAACCAUUCCAACAACAGGACCAGAGAUAAUGUGCUCGACCAGCUUAUUGAAGCAGGGCUUUGCAGAUAAAUCAGCAUAGUGCUUCUCAGCAAAAGGGCGAUCCACAGCGAUGAGCUUCAAACCUGUAACAAAAGAAAAUUCAUGACGAUGGAAAUCAUAAGUAGAAAAUAAAUCAAGGCUUUUUUAAUAAUGUCAGUGCCAAAAGUGUUAUCCUCCUCCCCUCUGAACAGGUAUAAGGAAAGAUUUACAUGAAAGAGGGAGAAGCAUGUAGAAUUUUUUACAAUGAAAUUUGACUUGAACGUUG
rnacentral:lncRNA from 1 species